rnacentral:rRNA from 1 species
AGAAUCAACGCUGGCGGCGUGCCUAACACAUGCAAGUCGAACGAGAAAGUGGAGCAAUCCAUGAGUAAAGUGGCGCACGGGUGAGUAACACGUGACUAACCUACCCUUGAGUGGGGGAUAACCUAGAGAAAUCUGGGCUAAUACCGCAUAAUACCUUCGGGGUCAAAGGAGCAAUUCGCUUAAGGAGGGGGUCGCGGCCGAUUAGUUAGUUGGCGGGGUAAUGGCCCACCAAGACUGUGAUCGGUA